rnacentral:lncRNA from 1 species
GGAGGAGGCGCCGCUCCCGGCGUGUGACUCGCAGCCGUGCGGCUGGGAGUCCGACGUGGCGGUCGGCGCCGCUCUUGGCGAGCCUCCAGGGGUGACCUAAUUGGACUCGGCGUGGGCCUUUGAGUCACCCCGCAGGCUUGUUGCGCUUCUGCGGACAGGGCGGCUCAAGCUGGGUUUGUCAGUCCGGGACUGAACUGGUUCCUCCUAGUACUCCGAGAACUCAGCUGCCAAGUUCCUCCAUAUUGAAAUGUUCCCUGCUGGAGCGGGGAAGGAGCCGUGAGACUCAGGGAGUUAGCUAACCUUGCAAAUCUUGGAGACUGAAGAGCGCAAGGUUCCCAAGGCCUUCCCCAAUGUGAUAGAGGCAAUAAGAAGUCAUUGAGGAGGAGACCGACUUGCCUGGAGGAGGGGUGCCAAGCUGUCCAGCCAUUGACAGGAUUCUACAUGGAGCACACUCAUGCUGCCUCAGGGCCUUGAAGGGGGUACUACAGGUUAAACGGACAUGGCUCAUGUGUCACAAGGCUGAUUAACUCAUCCCGAAUUCCCUGGGCUGCCAGUGUGUUUAUCUAAGUGUAUUUUUUAAUGGUCCAUGGGUGGAGCGUGUGUGAGGGAGAGGAAGGAGAAGCAUGUGGUAAUGAAGGUUGUGCUGAGCCUCAACUUUUUUGGAAAAUGAGAUGUGGCGGCCUGUGAUGACUAUUGCCUUUUUUUCUUAGGUGUUAACGUCCUGUCACCCCUUUGCCAGUAACUACCCCCCUCACUUACAGAGGCAUGGGCCGGUGGUGAUGCUGGCUAACCAUAGCUCCCCCAUUCCUCCCUGACAGAGUGAUGGCUUAGGGGAGGGGAUGAACUUCAGGUGGGUCAAUGAGAGGCCUCCUUAGGGUCUUUGAACUCCUAAUCCUCCUGCCUCCAUCUCCCAAUGCUAGGAUUACAAGGGUGUGCCAGCAUGCUUACCAGAGAAGUCUUACUUAAAAGGAUAAUGCCCAGUGUCUCAACCGGCUUCCUGUGGCCUGCAAGAUAUAGAACUUUCAGCUACUACGCCAGCACCGUGUCUUCCUGCACACUGCUAUGUUCCCUGCCAUGUUGAUAGUGGACUGAACCUCUGAAACUGCACCAUGAUCUCCAGUUGUCCCAUAAUCCAAACCAGAUAAGCUGAAAUAGCUAAACAGAACAGAACAUGUAGCACCCGCAAACUACGCGUAACAGGAGAGAGCCACCAUCCUUCCAUUCCUGUUCGGAAAGUUCCAGCUAAGCCGAGUGUGCUCAUUUCUGAAAGUUCAGUGCACGGGAAGCUCUUCAGAAUGACGCUCAAAACCCUGCUUUGGAGCAGCAGCUCAGAGCCGUGACACCUAGAGCACUGGACUGCCUCUGAAGCUUCAGCUGAACCACAAAUGCAAGUCCCACACAGCCAAUGAAGACCUGCCUGACAGCAAUCCCUGGACACCCUAGAAAGAAAAUGGGCCACACCUCCUCGACUGCACUGGAUCCAACUUGCUCCAUUUCAGCUGACACUCCGGCCAGAGGUUUGGGUACUGACUUCAAUCAAGUUGAGGAUUUCAAGCGAGAUCUUCAAUCAAGUGAAUCCCAUCUAACAUGGACUGGAUACUAACAUUUUCUUUCUACAGGACCCCACAUGACUAUCAUCGUCCCAUUUCAGCAGGAAGUAACUUGGAAAAUGCUACGCCCCCUUUCCCCAUUGUUGUCACUUAGGAUAGUGUAUAUACCUAGUUAGGAAUAGCUUCCUAUUGUUUAUGACUUUAGGGUUUAGUUAAAAUAGAUAGUUAUCUUCUUAUAUUUUACCUUUAUACUGUUAAGUUUUAAUCCUCUUUUAGACUAAAAGGGGAAUUGUAGGGGAAGCUGUAGCCACGCCUUCUUAGGGGCUGGCUACAAGAGUACCUGAGGGCUUGUGAGGGCAUGGUCAGAGUGAGUAGGGGGACUGCGUUUUCAGUUUCGGUUUCUCUUUGCUUCUUGCUGUACAGACUACCACCGGCUGGCUGGUUCGCUCUGUAAGUAAGGCUUUUCCCUAUUAAAUACCCUUAUAUUUCUACCUGACUCCGUACUGGUAAUUUCUUACUAUAAUCUGCAAGAGCAGCAAGUGCUCUAAAUCCUGGGCCAUCCUGCAACAGUG